CCAAACCGAGACUCUUGCCGAUACCGCCAUUUUGUGAUUUAAAUUCAGACCACAGUGCCGCGCAUUGUGUUCGAGAGCUCUGAUUGUAAGUUCAUGUUGUGUUUUUAGACCACACGCAUUUCAUUACACUGUCACGAGAGCUAUGGCGGGCUCAGGCCUUGUGUUGCUGUUUAACGGGGAUUGCGAACGCUGGCCUUAGAGCUUAAUAUCCUGGUAUUUGUUUUCCCUUCGGAAAGUCGACGCGAUUCUCACGAAGAGUUGGUCUUAUUGCUGCGCAUCGUUCAAUAGCUUGAGCUGCAGAGGACUGCUAGGACGUGAACCGGCCUUUCUUGCCAUGGUCGGCAUGGCUAGCACGUGUUUCUGCACCGGGUUUACUGAAUUUAUGGAACUCGUGGAUAGGUUGCAGCCCGUGCAGCACAACACGAGUUGAGGUUUAGGUCAAGUGAGAGCAAUGCGCGAGGGCUUUCUGUCCCGUAGCCAAUGGCCUUCAGGAAUUAGAUACGAUCUUUGGAAACCACAUUUCCUUAUGAGUAUGAGGAUCUUGCUCCUCAAUCCUGAAUCCAUGGAGGAGAAGUUGCAAGUGACACGCAUGUGUGUUUCAUAAGAUAAAUUGUGGAUAAGCG